rnacentral:lncRNA from 1 species
GUUGUGGGAAACCGCGCUGGACGCUGAGAAUGUGCGGAAGGAUCCUGAGGGGAGGACGCGAGACAGCGCGAGGAGAGACGAGGAGAGUUAGGGUUGGCCGGGAGGGUGCGAAGAUGAAGCGACCACUGGAGGCUGUGAGGGUGAAAGGAGCAAGAAUCGUCUAGAGACGGGCUGGGCCGGUGCUGGGGCCAAAGGCUUCUGUCUGUCAGGCCCUUUUUGGCGCUCACUCUAGAAAGAAGAGGCGGAGACGCGAAGAGAUCGGAGUUCAACAAUUUUUAUGAAUUUCUAAUCCAACCUCAUCAUCCUAUGGGAAACAGAAGACCACCAAGAACAGCCAGCUGAGACAGAAUUUCACUGUGUUGCCCAAGCCAAUCUUAAACUCCUGGUCUCAAGCGAUCCUCCUGCCUUGGCCUCCCACUGUGCCUGGCCUAUGGACUCUGAAUUUUUUUAAAAGACUGGAAAAAACUUUUAUAAGAGAAUUGGAAAUUUGGACAAUGGAAUCUCAUUCUGUCACCAGGCUGAAGUGCAGUGACGUGAUCUUGGCUCACUGCAACCUCCACCUCCUGGGUUCAAGCGAUUCUCCUGCCUCAGCCUCCUGAGUAGCUGGGAUUACAGGUAUCUUGGCAGUAACCUCCUCCAUAUAUUUCCUUGGCCCUCAGCUUACAUCUAGCAAAAUGACUCUACUGGUUCCAGGCUUCACAUGCAUACAACAUGGUGUUGGAGGAACAGAGAUGUUUUCUCUUCCUGGUGUUUUCCCAGACAUUUCUUAGCUGGCAUUUCAAACAAGGGUCCUGAAAUUCACCCUGGUUGGGUCGUGUUCUCCCCUUCCCAUUCCCCAUCCCCACCCUCAACCGAAAAAUGAUGUAAGCAGGGGAAAUUGAAUGUACCAAUGUUUGUUUUUAAACAAGCCACAGACCCCUCCCCAACUCCCCGACUGAAGCUUGAAGUGGGAUCAGCUUUCCCUAAAGUACUUGAGCUUAUGGUAAAGCAUAUAUGUUAUCCAAGUUAAAGUCUGGACGCUGUUAGUAAUGGGAAGGCAAGUAAUGAAUGUUAGCUAUGGAGCCAACAGACAGUGUCCACUCCAUUGUCUUUAAGGCCCAACUAAAGAUAACCUCUUUACCAAUGUCGGUUUAUUUAUUCAUUUAUUUAUUCAUUGAGAUGGAGUCUCACUCUCUCACCCAAGCUGGAGUGCAGUGGAAUGAUCUCAGCUGACUGCAAUUUCUGCCUCCCAGGUUCAAGCAAUCUCCUGCUUCAGCCUCCCAAGUAGCUGGGAUUACAGGCGCACACCACCAUGCCCGGCUAAUUUUUGUAUUUUUAGUAGAGAUAGGGUUUCACCAUGUUGGCCAAGCUGGUCUCGGACACCUGACCUCAAGUGAUCUGCCUGCCUCGGCCCCCAAAGGUGUGAGCCACUGCACCUGGCUACAAUGUCAGUUUCUAUAAAAACUGCCUUGACUUGUUUUGUUUGCUUGUUUUGUUUGUUUGUGUUUUAAUUUUUAUUAUUUUUUUUUAGAGACAGGGUCUCAAUCUGUUGUCUAGGCUUGAGUGCAGUGGUGCAAUCAUAGCUCACUGAAGUGUUGGACUCCCAGGCUCAAGCAGUCCUCCCACCUCAGCCUCCCAAGUAGCUGAGACUACAGGCAUGCACCACCCUGUCUGGCUAAUUUUUUAUUUUUAGUAGAGAUGAGGUCUCACUAUGUUGCCCAAGGUGGCCUCAAACUCCUGGCCUCAAGUACUCCUGUGGCCUUAGCCUCCCAAAGCUCUGGGAUUGCAGGUAUGAGCCGCCAUGCCUGGCCUACUGUAUAUUUUAUGCAUUUGAUAUAAGUCUUGCCUCCCUAAGUAUAUUACAAGUCCCUUGAAGUUAAAGACAUUAGAUUCCUACUCAGUGCUGAGCUGCAACAGAGAGCACUCAAUGAUGGAUAAAAUAGUUUUAGCAUGCAUUCAGCGAUAUAUAUUUAGAAAGUGGAACUAGGUGGUUGAAAAAAGUGUAUAGAUGGGUGGAAGGGAAUAUUACAGCUCUUAGAAUUGUCCUAAGGUGAGAGUAACAAAUUAAGCAAUGAGUCCCUGGGUUCACUCAAGCAACUUCACUCUCUAAAACAAGAGCCCACAGAAUCCCAUUUCUGCUUUCAGAAUGAGUUUGAGGCCAAUAUUAUUUCCAUUUUUUUUCUUUUUCUUUCUUUCUUUUUUUUUUUUUUUUUUUUGAGACGGAGUUUCACUCUUGUUGCCCAGGCUGUUUUGAUCUCGGCUCACUGCAACCUCUGCCCCUGGGUUCAAGCGAUUCUCCUGUCUCAACCUCCCAAGCUGGGAUUACAAGCAUGCGCUACCACACCUGGCUAAUUUUGUAUUUUUAAUAGAGACGGGGUUUCUCUGUGUUGGUCAGGCUGGUCUCAAACUCCCAACCUCAGGUGAUCUGCCCACCUUGGCCCAGCCUCCAAUAUGAUUUUCUAAUAGCUGUGUUUGAUGAUUAUAUUUAUUCCUCCAUCAGUAGCUUUUUUAGCCUUGAAAAUAUCUAUUUAAGUUUCUUAUUUCCUUUGGAUCUAUCAAAGUGUUUUUCCCCAAGUGGCACCUGGGAAAACAUAUUCUAUUCAUUUAUUUUAUAACUGUUCCCUUGACCUCUUUAUUGCUUCCCUAUUACAACCCAAGAUGCUCUUGUAAACCUGACUUAAUAUUGGCAGUCUUCAUCCCUUGCAAAUGGAAGUGAUGACAGACCCAAUACUUUGUGUAAAAAUAUUUUGCUAUUUCUAUACAAAAUAUUUUAUUAAUGGAAACCACAUGUUAUGUAUUUUACAUAUGUUAUGACUUGAAAUUUAUGUUAUGACUUGAAAUUGGGGAAUCUGAUAUGUCUCUAAUAAUAAAG